GACGAACCGUGCAAACGUUGUUCGGAAUCAUUGGGCUUAAAGGGCGCGUAGGCGGGUCAGCAAGUCAGGGGUGAAAGCCCACAGCUCAACUGUGGAAGAGCCUUUGAUACUGCGGGUCUUGAGGGAGGUAGGGGCAUGCGGAACUUCCGGUGGAGCGGUGAAAUGCGUAGAUAUCGGAAGGAACACCGGUGGCGAAAGCGGCGUGCUGGACCUCUUCUGACGCUGAGGCGCGAAAGCUAGGGGAGCAAACGGG
rnacentral:rRNA from 1 species